rnacentral:rRNA from 1 species
UACAGAGGUCUCAAGCGUUGUUCGGAUUUAUUGGGCGUAAAGGGCGCGUAGGCGGCGGGGUAAGUCGGGUGUGAAAUCUCAGGGCUCAACCCUGAAACUGCACUUGAUACUGCUCUGCUUGAGGACUGGAGAGGAGACUGGAAUUCACGGUGUAGCAGUGAAAUGCGUAGAUAUCGUGAGGAAGACCAGUGGCGAAGGCGGGUCUCUGGACAGUUCCGUGACA